rnacentral:rRNA from 1 species
AUUGAACGCUGGCGGCAGGCCUAACACAUGCAAGUCGAACGAGCGGCGGACGGGUGAGUAAUGUAUGGGAAACUGCCCGAUGGAGGGGGAUAACUACUGGAAACGGUAGCUAAUACCGCAUACUAUCGGAUGUACCCAGAUGGGAUUAGCUAGUAGGGGGGGUAAAGGCUCACCUAGGCGCCGAUCCCUAGCUGGUCUGAGAGGAUGAGCAGCGACACUUGGACUGAGACACGGCCCAGACGCCGACGGGAGGCAGCAGUGGGGAAUAUUGCACAAUGGGCGCAAGCCUGAUGCAGCCAUGCCGCGUGUAUGAAGAAGGCCUUAGGGUUGUAAAGUACUUUCAGCGGGGAGGCGUUACCCGCAGAAGAAGCACCGGCUAACUCCGUGCCAGCAGCCGCGGUAAUAC